rnacentral:ncRNA from 13 species
GCCCUUUUGGCCAAGUGGUAAGGCAUCGCACUCGUAAUGCGGGGAUCGUGGGUUCAAUUCCCACAGAGGGCA